UACGUAGGUGGCAAGCGUUGUUCGGAUUUAUUGGGCUUAAAGGGUGCGUAGGCGGCCUUAUAAGUCAGAGCUGAAAUAUCCCGGCUUAACCGGGAGGGUGGCAUUGAUACUGUAGGGCUUGAGUACAGAUGAGGUAGGCGGAAUUGACGGUGUAGCGGUGAAAUGCAUAGAUAUCGUCAAGAACACCGAUAGCGAAGGCAGCUUACUGGGCUGUAACUGACGCUGAUGCACGAAAGUGUGGGGAUCAAACAGG
rnacentral:rRNA from 1 species